UACCACAAGUGUGAAACAACGGCAGUCGCAACACCUGUGCCAUUACUUCUAGUCCUUGUUCUCCUCUGCUACCCCAGUACACCUCUAGGCACACAUUGAAAGACUAAGAUUGUGCAAAUCAGAACCGUGCAACAUGCGGGUAUUUUCCAUUUUGCAUCUUUGCUUCCUUGUACUUGCAAUGAUGCUGAGCCUGCAUCUCGUGACUGCCAACCCAGUGCCAGAACCAGGGAUGCCCAUUGAAUUAGACCUGACGAUUCCUGAUGGUGUCACUGUCAUGAAAAAGUUGGAAGCCAAAGAUAAGGCAGUGGACUGCAACGCGACUAUCACACCGUAGUAAGAAGAAGGAGAAGGAGAGAGAGGAGAAAGAGAAAGAGAAAAGCACGUAGAUCAAACGAAGAAAGGAAGUGGUCCAUAAUAACGACAACAACGAUAAUAAGAACAGUGAUAAUAAUAACAAUAAUCUGGAUUUAACAACUGUGAGGAAAAGCAAAUAAACAGUAAUACAAACAAUACAAUCAUUAAAAAAUAAUAAGAAGUAUAAAACGACAAGGAAAAGAAUAAACAAAAACAUAAACAAAAGAGUAAACAAGGUAGAAAAGGAUUAGAUUACUUAGCACAGAAGAAAAUAAGAUAAAGAACAAGUUACAUUGAAGAAAAUAAGAUAAAGAACAAGAAGACAUAGAAGAAAAUAAGAUAAAGAACAAGAAGACAUAGAGGAAAAUAAGAUAAAGAACAAGAAGACAUAGAAGAAAAUGAAAUAAAAGAACAAGUUAUGUAAAAGAAAAGAAGAUAAAGAACAAGAAGACAUAGAAGAAAAUAACAAAUACCUCGACAUGAAAACAAAAACAAGGCAAAAAGAACGACCGAAAAAAAAAAUCAACAAGAACAUAAAUAGAAAACAAAACAAAACAAAAAACGAAAUGACAAUAACAGACAACAAAAAAAAACAAAGACGAAUCUACAUAAAAGCCAGAGAAUAAAGGGAAAAAAAAAUCAGAAGAAAAAACAAAACCUAUGAACAUAUUUGACAAAACAACAAAACAGAAGAGAAUAAACAGACUAAAGAAGGAGAGACAUAAAGGCAAGAGAAUAACAGAAAACAAAGCAAAAUACGAGAAAACAUGUCAUAAAAGUAAUUAACAACAACAGAAUAACAAUAACAAAAAAAAACACAAUUAUUCAAAUAAAACAAAAAUAAAUAAUAAUAAUAAUAACGGUGGAAAACGACACUAAAAGAGAAGAGGCAAUAAAAGCAGAAGACAGCAAAAAAUAAUAAAUAAAAAACAUAAAUAAAAGAAAGAUAAUAAUAAUAAUAAUAAAAAAACACAGACGAAGAGUAAACAUAAAACAAAAGAACAAAGAGAAGAAACACAGACGAACAAAACAAAAAAUAAAGACACAUAUCGAGGUCGAACAAACCGGCACAAACAAACAAGAAAAUCCGAUCAAAACAAAAUUAGGCAAAUUAAGCGUACGAAGAAGAAGAGAACAGAAGAAAAGAGAAAACCUCGAAGUGGAAGAGAGAAAGGAAGAAGAAAAUGAGGAAAUACAAGAUAAUUUGAAGAAUAACCAAGAAAAAAACGCUAUAUUAUUGAUUUUUUUUUCUGAUUCUAAUGGAUUAUAUUACCCAUUUAAAUCCUUUUGAUGAAGGACUUCUUAAUUAGAGUCAUAUCCAGAAUUAA